rnacentral:rRNA from 1 species
UACGUAGGGGGCAAGCGUUGUCCGGAAUCAUUGGGCGUAAAGAGCGUGUAGGCGGCCCGAUAAGUCCGCUGUGAAAGUCCAGGGCUCAACCCUGGGAUGCCGGUGGAUACUGUCGGGCUCGAUCCGGAAGAGGUGAGUGGAAUUCCUGGUGUAGCGGUGAAAUGCGCAGAUAUCAGGAGGAACACCAAUGGCGAAGGCAGCUCACUGGGACGGUAUUGACGCUGAGACGCGAAAGCGUGGGGAGCAAACAGG